GACGAACGCUGGCGGCGUGCCUAAUACAUGCAAGUAGGACGCAGUUGCGAACGGGUGAGUAACGCGUAGGUAACCAUCCAUUAGAGGGGGAUAACUAUCUGAAACGAUAGCUAAUACCGCAUACUAGCAGAUGGACCUGCGUUGUAUUCGCUAGUAGGUAGGGUAAUGGCCUACCUAGGCAACGGUACAUAGCCGACCUGGGAGGGGGAUCGGCCACCCUGGGACUGGGGAAAGGCCCAGACUCCUACGGGAGGCAGCAGUUGGGGAACUUCGGCAAUGGGGGGAACCCUGACCGAGCAACGCCGCGUGAGUGAAGAAGGUUUUCGGAUCGUAAAGCUCUGUUGUUAAGGAAGCGGUACUUAACCAGAAAGGGACGGCUAACUACGUGCCAGCAGCCGCGGUAAUAC
rnacentral:rRNA from 1 species